GAGGCUAAAAAUUCAUUUUGACUAUCUAAUCGAUGGCUCGGGAGUGUAUAUAGUUGCGUAUCAUCGAAUAGAAUGUGUAGAAAUAAUUUAUUCAAGAAUCGAAUGAGUAUAUCAAAAGAUACAUCUUUGUAUCAAAAGAUACAUCUCCAUAUCGAAACUUACUAAUAUUAUUUUAUUUUUUUGUUAUAGGAUGGAGAAACAUCCGACUCUCAUCCACCAGCUACUAAAGAGG
rnacentral:lncRNA from 1 species